rnacentral:misc_RNA from 1 species
UUUUCUUUUGAUCCUCACAGAGAGAAUAUAUGAAUAUUUGUAUAUUUAAGUAUGUUUGAUGGGCACGAACCCAUGUUUUAUACACUAGAUAUAUUUUAACAGGUUUUAUGUAUUCUGUUAGCUAUAGACUCAAGGGAAACUCUAUCAGUUUUUCAGGUUACAUCGGUCUCUGUAGGUUAAGAACAGGUGUGACAGUUUUAUUAUGUACUGCAAGUUUAUUUUGAGAUUAAUGAAUUCAUGCUAACCUAACCUUUAAUCUGAAUGAAAGAACAUGCUACGUCCUACGACUGUAUUGCUUCAUACCUGCGAAUGCAAAUUAGUGGGAAUCUGCAAGAGUUCAGAACAUACCCUAAAUAGAAACUCCAUUAUUCACUUUAAAAUCUAUAGUACAGCUUUAAACAUUUUUAUUUAUGUAUUUUAAUAUGCUACAAUCUUAGUAUUGUGAUAAAGAAGGAACUACAAAUUGCACUUCUCUAUGCAUUAGUUGGUUGUGUUGUUCUAUGCAUGCAUGGAACUCCCAACCCAUCAACCUUAGGCUACAGUUGUGAAAAGAUUCUUCCUUUAUUACCCUGACCUAUUACUCCAGAUUUUUGAAAUCCAUGUGAUACUCCAUCACUUGUAUCAAAUAAAUUCAUCCCCCCCUCCCCUCCCCGCAGCAUGUUUUCAAUGAAAAAGCUCAUUCCUUGAACUCCUUGAGUAGUGUACUUACCUAAUGUAAUUCUUAUAACUUUCUUUCUGCGGUUGAAUGACUUAAAUAUUAUUUGAUUUUUUUUUAUUUGCAGGUUAAAGGUUGUGGAGAGGCUUCAUGUGGCUCUCUAUUUUUCAGCUCCAAUCCAAGGCUAUUUGUUGGGUAUUCUGUCUGCAUGUCUAUCAGCUUUGGCUGGUGUCUAUACGGAGUUUCUGAUGAAGAAGAACAAUGACAGCUUGUACUGGCAGAAUGUGCAAUUGUAUACGUAGGUCCUUUUUCUCCAUUCAAUGGCUUGCUCAUAGCAUUUUUUAAUGUACUAUGCAUUUUGAUUAUUACAAUUCCUGUCCAUUUUUGUUUGCUGUUUAGAAUGGCAAUUGAGAACAUUGGAAAAUUCCUAGUCUUGUUGCAGUUUCUCAAAAGACUUGGUAAUAUAAAUUUGCUAGUCUUAUUGCUGUUCUCAAAAUACCUGAUUUUGUGCUUGCAGCAAGAUAAAAUCUCUUUCUUCAAGUUGUGAUUCAGUUUUAAUCUUGGUUGUACCAGCAUCUUCUUACCUGGGAUUUUAGUUAUUUCUGUUCCUUUUCAGAUUCGGUGUGAUAUUCAAUAUGGCACGGCUUGUCCUGGAUGACUUCAGAAGUGGAUUUGAGAAGGGGCCUUGGUGGCAACGCCUUCUCAAUGGCUAUAGUAUUACUACAUGGAUGGUGGUUUUGAAUCUAGGAUCCACUGGCUUACUGGUUUCAUGGUUGAUGAAGUACGCUGACAACAUUGUGAAGGUAUAUUCCACGUCAAUGGCAAUGUUGCUGACAAUAGUUUUAUAGAUUUACUUUUUAGCUUCAGGUCUGCAUUGCAGGUGAUUCUCUAUUGACUCACUAGUUGUGCGAGUCUUAGGAUCCUCUCCUUUAGCAUCGAGUGGUUUGUAUUUUAUGUAACCUAUGCUUGUUUUUAUUUUUCUGGUCUCGCUGCAGCUUUUCUUGGGUAUCAUCAUCUAUAUGUGCUCCAAACAUGAUCAUGGAUGCUCCUGAGAGCCUAAAAGAAGUCUCUCUCGAACGAUUCCUAAUGUUUUUCAUGCCUAGAAAGUAAUGCUUUUGCAGUUGCUCAAUAAAAGUUGCAUUGCAAAUGGUUUCAACUCAUAAGAUGCAACUAAGGGAAUAUAACACAAGUGGUUUUUGGCUAGCUUGUGUACAUAAACCAAUUUUAAGAACACCAUUCUCCUCCAGAACUAGCAAAUGCUGUCAAACUGAUUCGCCCAUCCGGUGAGACCUCAUGCAAGUUGCAAAAGGAAAAAGUAUUGUGAUCCAGGAUAUUUCAAAAGAUUUCGUCUCUAUCAUUUAGCGUAAGAAGCAAGAUUGUUUGCAAAUCACAUUCUUUUUGAAAUUUACUGGAAUAUACUUUGUGACAAAGCAAGCUUGUAAAACAAUAAUGGAGUAAAUUAACACGAGGACAGAAAUUUUAUCUUAUGAUUUAUUAAGUAGUAGAAUUAAUCAAGGCUUUUAACUUUCGCUGGAUUGGCAAAGAAGGUUAGGCAUGUAUUUUCUUCUCAUCAUGGGCUUUGUUCCACUAGUUGGAUUAUUAUUAGUUAAUCUUUUAAUUGAAUCUUUACAGGCUAAUCCCUUCCAGUUUGCCUUAGAUGCCUCGUGGGUACGUUGAUCAUUUGUCUUUUAUAACCAGUUGUUAAGUGUCGCAUUGGAAAACUAAGUCGCUGGAAAUUGGCAGAAUCUUACUCCAUGAAGGCAUAUGGGCCAACCAUUAUUUGUGAUUUGUGAUAAUGACUCCUAUAUUAUACAAAGAAGAACAGAACAAAUUCUGGAACAUUUCUCAACUUGAACCACUGUGGUACUGAAGAUACCUACUUGGCCACUUUUUCUGCAUCAGAGUUUAGCUCGGAUGAUUACUCAGUGUAACCACAAUAAUAAAUAAAAUAACCAAACUUUAUUGUUGUUAUAAAGUGGAAAUCUUUACAUAUUGGUGAUUUUUAAUACCAUUGGUAGGUAGGUCAAUAAUGCAAUAAGAAUUUUUUUUAUUUAAAAAAAAAAGAAAAAAAAAAUCCCAACCAUUGGAUUAGAUCAAAACUUGGCAUAAUUGGGACCAAACCGGUACCAGAGGAUCCUGUGGUCCGGUCUCAGCCAGUUCAAGCCAGGGACAGAUGGCCAAAUCUAGCUCAACCUAUCUGGAGUUAAUGCUGAGUUGAUUAAAUUAAGAUUCAGAUGUGGGCAUAUUUCCCUGCACCACCUCCCACAGUUAACAAGCUGGCCAAAUCAGGCCUCAUCUUAAAAGCCACAACAGAGAGACCAUGACUGGAAACAAAAUAGAGAGGGAUUAUUACCGUUGCUUCCUCACAAAGGAGUUC